GACGAACGCUGGCGGCGUGCCUAAUACAUGCAAGUAGAACGCACAGUUUAUACCGUAGCUUGCUACACCAUAGACUGUGAGUUGCGAACGGGUGAGUAACGCGUAGGUAACCUGCCUGGUAGCGGGGGAUAACUAUUGGAAACGAUAGCUAAUACCGCAUAAUAUUAAUUAUUGCAUGAUAAUUAAUUGAAAGGUGCAAUUGCACCACUACCAGAUGGACCUGCGUUGUAUUAGCUAGUAGGUGAGGUAACGGCUCACCUAGGCGACGAUACAUAGCCGACCUGAGAGGGUGAUCGGCCACACUGGGACUGAGACACGGCCCAGACUCCUACGGGAGGCAGCAGUAGGGAAUCUUCGGCAAUGGGCGAAAGUCUGACCGAGCAACGCCGCGUGAGUGAAGAAGGUUUUCGGAUCGGAAAGCUCUGUUGUAAGGGAAGAACGGGUGUGAGAGUGGAAAGUUCACACUGUGACGGUAUCUUACCAGAAAGGGACGGCUAACUACGUG
rnacentral:rRNA from 1 species